UACGGAGGAUCCAAGCGUUAUCCGGAUUCAUUGGGUUUAAAGGGUGCGUAGGCGGACUGAUAAGUCAGCGGUGAAAUCUCUCGGCUCAACAGAGAAACUGCCGUUGAUACUGUUAGUCUUGAAUGCAGAUGAUGUGGGCGGAAUAUGACAUGUAGUGGUGAAAUACUUAGAUAUGUCAUAGAACACCGAUUGCGAAGGCAGCUCAAAAACUGUGAUUGACGCUGAUGCACGAAAGCGUGGGGAUCAAACAGG
rnacentral:rRNA from 1 species